AACGAACGCUGGCGGCAUGCCUAACACAUGCAAGUCGAACGAGACCUUCGGGUCUAGUGGCGCACGGGUGCGUAACGCGUGGGAACCUGCCUUUAGGUUCGGAAUAACUCAGAGAAAUUUGAGCUAAUACCGGAUGAUGUCUUCGGACCAAAGAUUUAUCGCCUUUAGAUGGGCCCGCGUUGGAUUAGCUAGUUGGUGGGGUAAAGGCCUACCAAGGCGACGAUCCAUAGCUGGUCUGAGAGGAUGAUCAGCCACACUGGGACUGAGACACGGCCCAGACUCCUACGGGAGGCAGCAGUGGGGAAUAUUAGACAAUGAGCGAAGGCCUGAUCCAGCAAUGCCGCGUGAGUGAUGAAGGCCUUAGGGUUGUAAAGCUCUUUUACCCGAGAUGAUAAUGACAGUAUCGGGAGAAUAAGCACCGGCUAACUCCGUG
rnacentral:rRNA from 1 species